rnacentral:rRNA from 1 species
CUUGGUCAUUUAGAGGAAGUAAAGUCGUACCAAGGUUUUUUUCAACCUAGGUGAACCU